CAACUGACCAAAGAUGUGAGCUCUCGGCUUUCUGCUCUGUCCACCAUGCCUCCCCGUCAUUAUGGGCUCUCUCUCUCUGGAACCGAAUACAGCUUCUUCAGCCUUCCAGAGUGUUCUAAAGACCAGCAGCUCUCCAGGAACCCUCCUUUCAGCGCCAGAAUGGGAAUAUGCCUCAUGGACUAGGCAGCGACUGAGUUCUCAUCCUCUCCAGUAUGCAGACAGCGUUGUUGGACCACCCAGUCUGUAUUGUGUAUGCCAAUCUAAUAAAUCCCCUUUUAAUAUA